AUUGAACGCUGGCGGCAGGCUCAACACAUGCAAGUCGAGCGGAGAUGGGGUGCUUGCACCUUACCUUAGCGGCGGACGGGUGAGGAAUGCUUAGGAAUCUGCCUAUUAGUGGGGGACAACAUUACGAAAGGAAUGCUAAUACCGCAUACGUCCUACGGGAGAAAGCAGGGGAUCUUCGGACCUUGCGCUAAUAGAUGCGACUAAGUAGGAUUAGCUAGUUGGUGGGGUAAAGGCCUACCAAGGCGACGAUCUGUAGCGGGUCUGAGAGGAUGAUCCGCCACACUGGGACUGAGACACGGCCCAGACUCCUACGGGAGGCAGCAGUGGGGAAUAUUGGACAAUGGGGGAAACCCUGAUCCAGCCAUGCCGCGUGUGUGAAGAAGGCCUUAUGGUUGUAAAGCACUUUAAGCGAGGAGGAGGCUACUGAGACUAAUACUCUUGGAUAGUGGACGUUACUCGCAGAAUAAGCACCGGCUAACUCUGUGCCAGCCGCCGCGGUAACAC
rnacentral:rRNA from 1 species